rnacentral:rRNA from 1 species
CCUGACCUCGAUUCGAGCGUGAAUACC